GUCUCACGCCAGUGUCCACCACAACAAUGGCUUCGGAUCUCCGCGACAGGAUUUUCCAUUUUAAUGAGAAUUUAGUCCCGCUUAAGCAACUAAUUCUUAACAACCAGUAUCCACCAGGCUUGACUGGAAAUCAAAGGAGAAUUUUGAGAAGACAGAGGGAACAUCACAUGAUAAAAGAGAACCAGCUGUAUCGCAAGAGAAGAAACAAAUGGGUUCAGAUUCCUUCAACACUGGGAGAAGUGAUGGAUAUUCUGCUUUUUUAUCAUGUCACAAGUGGCUGUCAUGCUGGUAUUGAUAAAACCAAGUCCAGGAUUUCUGACCAUUAUUACUGGCUUGGUAUGUCAAGGGACGUCAUUGCAUAUAUAUCAACUUGUACAACUUGCCAGACUUUUGAGGUUGUAAAGACACAAGCUCCCACACUUAAACAAAUUAAGGUGUCUCAACCCAUGGAAGUCGUAGGCAUGGAUCUUAUUGGAAAAGCUAAGGUAGUGUUGCAAGCAGGCAGUGACAAAUACAGUUCGGCGACAUGACAUGCUCAUCUUGUCCAGGACCUCAUCCAGACCACUGGCGAUGACCAAGAGUGGGAGUCAGUACGUAUUGACAAUUGUGGAUUACUUCACCAAAUAUGUACUGUUGUUCCCUCUUCCAAGAAAGGAUGGAACAGGUGUCAACAAUUGCAUCAAGCAGUACAUAAGCAUAUUGGGAGCACCAAAACGCCUCAUCUCUGAUCAAGGGAAGGAGUUUUGUAAUAAGGUAUGGAUCAUUUAGAAUGACAGGUAUAAUACUGGAGCUUUUGAAAUUGACAAUUUUUUUUUU